UAUUCACAAAUGUGCUAUUUAAGUACACUAUAUAAAUAUACUAAAUAGCACUAACACUGAAAUUUAUUUUAAGUGUAAUUAGAUAGUUAACCUAAAUUAAUUUAGUUUACAAUAUAUUAGCAAUAGGUUAAAUUAAUUGUGCUACUUAAGUAUACUUAAAUACACUAAAUAUUAAAUUGAUAUAGUACACAUAUUCAGAAGUGUUUUGCAUUGAAAAAGCAUGCAGCGAUCACAGCGAUUAACAGAUGGAUUUUCAUAACUUGUAGGUGCUUAUGCUAUACUAUAAAUGCACUACUAUCACAUUAAGUAUGUUACUUAAAAGUGUACUUUUGCUAUACAAAAUUGCAAUAUGAUUGUUUUCCACAUUUAUUGUCAAUAAAAAGAAAACAGAUAUUUAAAUAGUUUCAUAAUUUCACAGUAACCAAAAAUAAUUCACUUAACACUGUCUGUGAGUUAAUAUUUAGAACAGGCAUGACAACUGUAUUUUUCUGACUGUUUGCUUUGUAUUGCAUAACAUUUUAUGAAAAAAAAAAAAACAACUUGCAAGCUUGGAGGAUAAGCGAAUAGAAUAGACUUUUGUGCGCCAUCAUUGCAUAUCUGGUUGAUUACGAUUCUCAAAUAUAUUUUAUGCUUUUAAAAAAAACUGACACACAUCACCAUUGAAUAGUUUGUGACACUCUGAGCGGGCUUUAUCCUCAAAUCAAAAGUUUUUAUUUUAUUUUUUAAAUAAGUCGUAGCCAAUCAGACGUCUAUAACAAUUUCGGCCAAUCACAAUUGGGCCACAGUCCGUUACACUGGCGCGAAAUGUAUGAGAAGAUGGCGAACGUCAAGGCAGCAGGAGCUAACGUUAGCGCUCCACCAAGAAAAAAAAAAACACUUUAGAAAGUUCUGAUGACGAAACAGACAUUGAGAUGAAGCGACAAUAUGAAAAAGCAAAAAGACAAAAAAAGGUUGGAAAGGAGAGGGUCCUCACUCAGCUGAAGGAUACACUGAGAAAACCACUCCACUCUGAUCCACGCAGAACCAACCCGUUACAUAGUGAGGAGGAAGUUCAAGCCGAAACCGUGGACACAAAUGUGGAUUUGUUCGAUUACCCAGAGAAUUUUCAACCAACCGAUACCUUAGAUGCUGCUGAGGCAAGUGGAGAGAGCGUGUAACAGCCAUUAUUUGUCAGUGGUGAAGUGUUGAAAGCUUUGAAAGGUACAGUAUAAAAUACCUGAAAUGAGUUGUGCUAAGGGAUGCUAUGUGGAUAAUUAUGUCUUAAAUAUACUAUAUAUACAAUAAUACAUUUGUGAUUGUAAUUUUCUAUUGACUUGAUUUGUAUUUAAAGCAGUAAAAAGUGGUUGUACUGUAUUUCAUUUCUUUAGAUAGAUUCUGAGCAUUAAGCAUUUACAAUCUUUGUAAUCAUUCUAAGCAGCCAUCUUUCUUCAUAACUUUUUUAAUAGAAAUCUUUUCGACACCUCUAGAAAUCUCAACUGUGGCGUUUGGCAUCUUGUUCCUACCCCACUUACGAUGUGUUUUUACACGUAUUACCUGUGCUGUGCAUCAGGAGUGGAGCGGUACAUAUAUUCGUAUUGAACCAAUUUGGUACAAGGGUCACGGUUUUGGUGCACGCAUUUACACAGAAAAUACACUGCAAAGCGGAACUAUUGUUAGAUACGCAUGUUCUUUGGGGACACAUAAUAUGUGACGCGCGUCCUAUUCGCUUUGGACUAAUGUCAAACUAGACGCAAAUUUUAAGCAUUUCUUUGUUUGCGUUGAUUACAAUGCUGGAGUGUGUGUGUGCUCGCACGCGCGGUAGAGAGAGAAAGAUAUAGUGUGUUCACUGUAGCACAAGAGAGAUCGAGACAGAGAAGCAAUUUGUCCUCGAGUGUCACAAAUACAGUUCAGUAAGAGACCUUUACUUCAACUAAAUCACCAACGUUAUACUGUAUGCCACAGCCUGAGAGACAGCAGGUGAAUGUGUAUGUGUGUGUCUGAACUCAGUGCGUUUCCCUACUGUCCAUCACAGUGACUCACAGUGGUGUGUGUGUGUGUGUGUAUAUAUAUAUAUAUAUAUACAUAUAUAUAUGUGUGUGUGUGUGUGUGUGUGUGUGUAUUAUGCUAUCUUUGUUUGUAAAUAAACACUUAUCUAU
rnacentral:lncRNA from 1 species